ensembl:lncRNA
GGGGAAGUAUGAAGAUUAGCAAUGGCUCCUCAGGGGAGGAGUCACAAAUUGAGAACUGAAGGAUAAGUGGAAGUCUACUGAUGAAGCAAGGGGCAUCACCUAGGCAGAGGUACAGCAAGUACAAAGACCUGGGGAUGGGAAGCAGCCCAACACAUUCAAGGAACUUGAUGGGAAACUGUGGAUGGAAAAACAGUGGAAACAUAAGAGAAGGCAUGAAUGGAUUUUUCUUUAAAACAAAGGCCCUGACUGCAUGAUCAUGUUCCCUGCUCCUAAGUCGGUGGGAUGUCAGAGAAGGAGGAUCCCUGAAGCAGAAGAGACAACAAAG